GAUGAACGCUAGCUACAGGCUUAACACAUGCAAGUCGAGGGACCGGCGCACGGGUGAGUAACACGUAUCCAACCUGCCCUUUACUCGGGGAUAGCCUUUCGAAAGACAGAUUAAUACACGAUAUAACGGAUGGGGAUGCGUUCCAUUAGGUUGUUGGUGAGGUAACGACUGACCAAGCCUUCGAUGGAUAGGGGUUCUGAGAGCAACGGCACCCACAUGUGAACUGAGACACGGGCCAAACUCCUACGGGAGGCAGCAGUGAGGAAGAUUGGUCAAUGGGCGCUAGCCUGAACCAGCCAAGUAGCGUGAAGGAUGAAGGCUUAUGGGUCGUAAACUUCUUUUAUAUAAGAAUAUGUAUUAUAUGAAUAAGGAGCGGCUAACUACGUGCCAGCAGCGGCGGUAAUUC
rnacentral:rRNA from 1 species